GGGAGGAUGUGUGUGUGCGUGCGUGUGUGAGUGUGUGUGCGCGCGCCCCGGGGGCAGGGAGGCGGGGGGCGGCGGCGGGCGGCGGAGCGCGGGGGCUGGUUCCUGGUCCCCGGGAGAAGCCAAGAAGGUCCUGAGUUCAAGAGAAACAGGUGUCUAAACAGAAGUAAAAUCCUGUGGAAGUUUAGGAUAAUUGAAUUACUCGCAAAUUGGAGUAUCCUGGAAAACUUCCUGGAGGAAGUGGCCUGUGCUUUGUAUCAGGAAAAAUAGGUAUCAGAAUGGUGCGUGGGUUUGGUUUGAAGCUAAAGAAAGGAGAAAGAGCCAGAGAAGAAGAAAAAAAGCCUGCCAGGGACGUGGUAACUGCCCUGCCAAGAGUGAUCCUGGGAGAGCUAUUGAAAGAGCUCUGAGUAAGUACACACUGGGCGGAUUUUCCCUCCCCUUCGUACCUGCUCCGCACCUGUACAGGGAGCAGUCCCACACAUAUCACCUGAUCGCAGCCCUUUCAGAGACCGUGAGAAAAAUAAAGUCCAGCAUAGAAGAGAUGUUUGUCUCUGCAGGGCUGCAGCCAGCUCCCCACGGUCCGGGUGCCCAGAAACAGCACAUUCCUGGCCGGGUGUGCACGCGUGUUUGCCCACACGCGCGUGCUGGGUGGGGGCACCAGCAGGGGAGGGGAGCCGGGCAUCACCUGCGUAAUAACUGCUUUGCUGCCUCCAUUUUUGGGCAUCCUUCCUGUCUGGAAGUUUUGUGAUCCUCUACUAGAAUCAUUAUUAUGGUCCCUCUAGACAAGAGUCUGUGUAUGCUCAUCACAGCUGAAUGCAUCACCAGGAUGUCAGACAUUAGGGUUCAUGGAUGAAACGCCCUGGGGCCUCUGAAGCCCUUGAAAUGGACCUUUAGAAAGAGCUUCUUUUUCCCCCGUGUUUGUCUUUUUAGGGCCUCCUUGGCAUAUGGAAGUUCCCAGGCUAGGGGUGGAAUCCGAGCCACAUCCGUGACCUACACCGCAGCUCACGACAACGCUGGAUCAUCAACCCACUGAGUGAGGCCAGAGAUCAAACCCGAGUUUUCCUGCACACCAGUUAGGUUUGUUACCACUGAGCCGCAACAGGAACUCCCAGGAGCUUUAUGAGUGAAUGAAUAAAUGCAUCAUUCCACCCCCACCUCACCGCCGCCACCCCGGGGGAGAGAGUCUACAGCUUUUAGCAGAAUCUCAAAGUUUUUUGUAACGCAGGAAGGUUGAGGAAGCUGAUCCAGGCAAUCUCGAUGUAUAAGUGGGUACUCUAAGGCCCAGAGAGGGCCAGGGACUGGUUCAGGCAACAUAGGGCAGAGUGGGGGCCAGAAGCCAGCUCGGAGUCCUUUGUACCAUUCCCCAGUGCUGUGGAUCUUGGGAAAUUUAGGGUGGGGUUUAUGGAGUUGGGAUCACCGCUAGAACUUGGAUUUAAAAUAGACACUUUAAUAAAGGUCCUUUGAGUCUCCA
rnacentral:lncRNA from 9 species